CUCCCCAGGACAACAUGUUAAGCCAGUCUCCUUGUUCUCUCCCCAGGACAACAUGUUUAAGACAGUUCUCCUGUUCUCUCCCCAGGCCAACAUGUUAAGCCAGUCUCCUGUUCUCUCCCCAGGACAACACGUUUAAGCCAGUCUCCUGUUUCUUCUUCCCCAGGACAACACGUUAAGCCCUUGACUUGUCGGUAUUGAAUGUUGAUGCUGAUGGCCUGUUCUCUCCCCAGACAACAGACAGACAGUGGGAUGGUUCUGGCGUCAGAGGAGUUUGAGAUGAUCCACACGAACACAGAGGAGCCAAAAGUACAGAGCGCCUGGUGGUGUAGAGUCCAGCGGUAGCCCCGUUAGAUUCCAGACACCGACCAGCCUUCCUCUCCCAGCUCUCUGGCCAGACCUUUUACAACAACGAGUAUGGUCAGCUGUCAGAGGAGGGCAGGGUCCUGGACUUCUUCUCCUCCCCUGAUGAUACACACUGCCUCGCAUCCUCCAACCUGUGACGUCAUUAUCACAGUGGGCUAGCCCCUCCUCCUCCAACCUGUGAUUGACUACAGUGGGAUCCAAUAGUUCAGAUUCCAGUCUUGUUAGCCACAAGGGUUGGGAGUAUACUCAAUCCCUCUCCUUCCCUCUCUUCCUUGCUGUCACUUCUUCCCUCUCUUCCUUGCUGUCACUCCUUCCCUCACUUCCUUGCUGUCACCCCUUCCCUCACUUCCUUGCUGUCACUCUUUCCCUCUCUUCCUUGCUGUCACUCCUUCCCCUCUCUUCCUUGCUGUCACUCCUUCCCCUCUCUAUGGCCAACCGGCCCAUACUGGACUGAGCCGUCUGUACAUGCAGUUCUCUAUCUAACCACUGGGUGGCAGUAGUAUGUCAAAACUAAACCCAAAGUAUUUUAUAUCAACCACAGUUCAGAUUUGUAUCUUUAUACAGAGUAAGCUUUUGUUUAUUUGUACAAAAAUAUGAAAAUAAAGAAAUAUCUUCUUUA